CCUACGGGAGGCAGCAGUAGGGAAUCUUUCACAAUGGGCGAAAGCCUGAUGGAGCAACGCCGCGUGCAGGAUGAAGGCCUUCGGGUUGUAAACUGCUUUUAUAAGCGAGAAAUAUGAUGGUAACUUAUGAAUAAGGAUCGGCUAACUACGUGCCAGCAGCCGCGGUCAUACGUAGGAUCCGAGCAUUAUCCGGAGUGACUGGGUGUAAAGAGUUGCGUAGGUGACAUAAUAAGUAGCUAGUGAAAUCUGGUGGCUCAACCAUUCAGACUAUUAGCUAAACUGUUAAGCUCGAGACCGUUAGGGGUAACUGGAAUUUCUAGUGUAGGAGUGAAAUCCGUAGAUAUUAGAAGGAACACCAAUAGCGUAGGCAGGUUGCUGGGACGGUUCUGACACUAAGGCACGAAAGCGUAGGGAGCAAACGGGAUUAGAUACCCCAGUAGUC
rnacentral:rRNA from 1 species